GCACUGCUGGAGGGUCCCAUAAUAGGACGAAACGGCCGUCCAGUGC
rnacentral:hammerhead_ribozyme from 1 species